rnacentral:rRNA from 1 species
UCCCUUAGUAGCGGCGAGCGAACAGGGAAGAGCCCAGCGCCGAAUUCCGCGUCUCAAAGGGCGUUUGGAACAUGUGGCGUUUAGGAGGAAUCUCUCCGAGGGCAGACGGUGUCGCAAGUCCCCCUGAACGGGGCUGUGAUCCAGAGCGGGUGCGAGGCCCAUAGCUGGUGCCGUCUCCUUUGGGUGUCCCCUCCUUGGAGUCGGGUUGCUUGGGAGUGCAGCCCUAAUUGGGUGGUAAACUCCACCUAAGGCUAAAUACGUCCGUGAGACCGAUAGCAAACAAGUACCGUGAGGGAAAGUUGCAAAGAACUUUGAAGAGAGAGUUCAAGAGUACGUGAAACCGCUCAGAGGCAAACGGGUGGGCCCACGAAAGCCGAAGGCGGGGGGAUUCAGUCGAGAGGACGGUGGGGCAGGACWGGCUGGUUGGACGGACCGUGCCAGGCCGGGUCAGUUCCCGAGAUCUGCCGCCUUUCGACGCAUUUCCCCCUGCUUAGUAGGACGCCGCAACCGGUUGGCGCUGCAGCCAUAAGGGAGAGUAAAUGGAAGGUAGCCAGUGAGUUCUUCUUCGGAGGCGCGAGCUGGUCCUAAGCCGACUCUCCUGGUGCUUGUGGCCCGACCGUGGUCGUGAGUCCCUCAACGGGAUGUCGCCGAGCCCUCUGACUGGAGCGGGAGAAGUGGCAGGCUGCUUUCCGCGGAAAAAAUCGAUCGCUUCACGCGUGCAGUGGGCGAUCUCCGGAGGUAGCUGCUGGUGCGUUUUUCUCCUGCGCUGGGCACAGGCAGUUGGCGGCGAGUAGGUCGGUCACCCACCCGACCCGUCUUGAAACACGGACCAAGGAGUCUAACAUGUGCGCGAGUCAUUGGGUCUUGAACAAGCCCAAAGGCGCAAUGAAAGUGAAGACCAGCACUGAAGCUGGUGGAGUUGGGAAACUGUGUCACUGAAGAUGCAGUUGCACCAACGGCCCGUCCCGUCCGCAUCGUCGGUGGGGCGGAGCGAGAGCGUACACGUUGGGACCCGAAAGAUGGUGAACUAUGCCUGGGCAGGACGAAGCCAGAGGAAACUCUGGUGGAGGUCCG